rnacentral:lncRNA from 1 species
ACGCGGCUCCCCGAGCAACAGUGCCUGUGCUCCUCUGGUCCCUCCACCAGCACUGGUGGAGGUGGCUGGGCUGGGAAGUGAGAUGUGCUGGUGGUUGGCACCCCGGUGACCUGUGGCCCCCCAGAGCCCCCCGUCCCACUGGCGGUGGGGUGGGUACUGCACCGGCAGCUGCAGCCCCAGUUCCCGGGGCGCCCAUCCCUACGUGCCCCCAGGGUGCCCAGGGGUGCGGGCUGAUAUUGGCAGUCUGCCGGUGAUGGGCUGAGAUUUAAUUUGACAAAACCAGGGGGCACGGCUCGGGAGCCGAGUCGAUGCAGUGGAGUAUAGCUUAUUGGUUUCAGCGGGAGUGGAGAACGAUUUGAGCAACCUCUGUACCACCGGUCCAGACACACACCACCGCACCGUUGACUUAGCAGCCGCCGCUGACAGAGAAGUGAUAAAGCUCUCGGAGAUAUUCCUGUCUCAUCUGUCUCGGUGAUUGCUUGUCAAGGGACGUGUCUACGAGGAUAUGAGGAAGACAGUGCAGUCAGAGGUUGCACAAGUCACUGCCCCAAACCAGGCUUGGCUUUCUGGGCUGGUGCUCGCCUCUUCCAGCUGAGCGGCUGCCUGUGUUUCCGCGGGGGAGGCAGGAUGGAUCGCCUGGAGAACCCAGGCAUCGCCGCUCCGAGCAUUUGCCUAAUAGGCACCUCAGAAAUGCAUCCUGGGAGCCGUGACUCUUUGUGAGCAGCAGCUGUUUCUCUCCGGUGAAGGGAGCAGAAGUCAUCAAUUCUCCCUCCUAGCUGACCCUGAACUGCUCACGCUGCAGGCAGGCCAGGCAGCAUCUGUCUGGGACACCUCUGAUGGGGCUGAAGGUCAGUGAAGACCCUGGGCCGUUUUGGUCUGACAGGUUUGCCUUUAAAAACCGUUUUUCUGUUGGCAGAAAAUGCA